CCCAUACAAUCUUGCUAGCGCAUGCUAAAAAGAUAAAAGCUCCGGCGGUGUAAAAUGAGCGUGCGUCCUAUUAGCUAGUUGGAGAGGUAAUGGCUCACCAAGGCUACGAUGGGUAGGGGUUCUUAGUGGAAGGUCCCCCACACUGGCACUGAGAUACGGGCCAGACUCCUACGGGAGGCAGCAGUAGGGAAUAUUGGUCAAUGGGCGCAAGCCUGAACCAGCCAUGCCGCGUGCAGGAUGAAGGCUCUCUGAGUUGUAAACUGCUUUUGUACAGGAGCAAAAAAGCCCCUGCGGGGGCUCUUGAGAGUACUGUAAGAAUAAGCACCGGCUAAUUCCGUGCCAGCAGCCGCGGUAAUACGGAAGGUGCAAGCGUUAUCCGGUUUUAUUGGGUUUAAAGGGUGCGUAGGCGGCUUAUUAAGUCAGUUGUGAAAUCCUAGUGCUUAACGCUAGAACUGCGAUUGAUACUAUUAGGCUUGAGUUAAGAAGAGGUAGGCAGAAUUUAUGGUGUAGUAGUGAAAUGCUUAGAUAUCAUAAGGAAUACCAAUAGCGUAGGCAGCUUACUGGUCUUUAACUGACGCUGAGGCACGAAAGCGUGGGGAGCAAACAGGAUUAGAUACCCUGGUAGUCCACGCCGUAAACGAUGAUCACUCGAUAUACAUGAAACCUCGUGUGUGUCUAAGCGAAAGCGUUAAGUGAUCCACCUGGGGAGUAUACUCGCAAGGGUGAAACUCAAAGGAAUUGACGGGGGUCCGCACAAGCGGUGGAGUAUGUGGUUUAAUUCGAUAAUACGCGAGGAACCUUACCUGGGCUAGAAUGUAUUGGACACCUUGAG
rnacentral:rRNA from 1 species